GAGGAGCUAGCGAACAGGAGCUAUAACCUGAGUUCUGUGAGGGGGUUCUCCAGGUGAAGGAGGAGCGACUAGGUGACCCUUGGAGGACAGUCCGGUUUGGCCAAUGCACGGGGGAGAGGGGCACUGAAAUCGAGUUUACACAAGUUAAGAAGGAAG